rnacentral:rRNA from 1 species
CCUUUGUACACACCGCCCGUCGCUACUACCGAUUGAACGGCUCAGUGAGGCCUUCGGACUGGCCGAGAGAGGUGGGCAACCACCACUCAUGUGCCGGAAAGUUGUACGAACUCGGUCGUUUAGAGG